AGAGUUUGAUCAUGGCUCAGAUUGAACGCUGGCGGCAGGCCUAACACAUGCAAGUCGAACGGUAGCACAGAGAGCUUGCUCUCGGGUGACGAGUGGCGGACGGGUGAGUAAUGUCUGGGAAACUGCCUGAUGGAGGGGGAUAACUACUGGAAACGGUAGCUAAUACCGCAUAACGUCGCAAGACCAAAGAGGGGGACCUUCGGGCCUCUUGCCAUCAGAUGUGCCCAGAUGGGAUUAGCUAGUAGGUGGGGUAACGGCUCACCUAGGCGACGAUCCCUAGCUGGUCUGAGAGGAUGACCAGCCACACUGGAACUGAGACACGGUCCAGACUCCUACGGGAGGCAGCAGUGGGGAAUAUUGCACAAUGGGCGCAAGCCUGAUGCAGCCAUGCCGCGUGUAUGAAGAAGGCCUUCGGGUUGUAAAGUACUUUCAGCGGGGAGGAAGGUGUUGUGGUUAAUAACCACAGCAAUUGACGUUACCCGCAGAAGAAGCACCGGCUAACUCCGUGCCAGCAGCCGCGGUAAUACGGAGGGUGCAAGCGUUAAUCGGAAUUACUGGGCGUAAAGCGCACGCAGGCGGUCUGUCAAGUCGGAUGUGAAAUCCCCGGGCUCAACCUGGGAACUGCAUUCGAAACUGGCAGGCUAGAGUCUUGUAGAGGGGGGUAGAAUUCCAGGUGUAGCGGUGAAAUGCGUAGAGAUCUGGAGGAAUACCGGUGGCGAAGGCGGCCCCCUGGACAAAGACUGACGCUCAGGUGCGAAAGCGUGGGGAGCAAACAGGAUUAGAUACCCUGGUAGUCCACGCCGUAAACGAUGUCGAUUUGGAGGUUGUGCCCUUGAGGCGUGGCUUCCGGAGCUAACGCGUUAAAUCGACCGCCUGGGGAGUACGGCCGCAAGGUUAAAACUCAAAUGAAUUGACGGGGGCCCGCACAAGCGGUGGAGCAUGUGGUUUAAUUCGAUGCAACGCGAAGAACCUUACCUGGUCUUGACAUCCACAGAACUUUCCAGAGAUGGAUUGGUGCCUUCGGGAACUGUGAGACAGGUGCUGCAUGGCUGUCGUCAGCUCGUGUUGUGAAAUGUUGGGUUAAGUCCCGCAACGAGCGCAACCCUUAUCCUUUGUUGCCAGCGGUUAGGCCGGGAACUCAAAGGAGACUGCCAGUGAUAAACUGGAGGAAGGUGGGGAUGACGUCAAGUCAUCAUGGCCCUUACGACCAGGGCUACACACGUGCUACAAUGGCGCAUACAAAGAGAAGCGACCUCGCGAGAGCAAGCGGACCUCAUAAAGUGCGUCGUAGUCCGGAUUGGAGUCUGCAACUCGACUCCAUGAAGUCGGAAUCGCUAGUAAUCGUAGAUCAGAAUGCUACGGUGAAUACGUUCCCGGGCCUUGUACACACCGCCCGUCACACCAUGGGAGUGGGUUGCAAAAGAAGUAGGUAGCUUAACCUUCGGGAGGGCGCUUACCACUUUGUGAUUCAUGACUGGGGUGAAGUCGUAACAAGGUAACCGUAGGGGAACCUGCGGUUGGAUCACCU
rnacentral:rRNA from 1 species